rnacentral:rRNA from 1 species
CAUGCAAGUCGUACGAGAAAGCCUUAGCUUGCUAGGGCAAGUAAAGUGGCGCACGGGUGAGUAACGCGUGGCUAAUCUACCUUUGGGGUUAGGAUAACGCACUGAAAAGUGUGCUAAUACUGAAUAUGACCACAGCGUCUGCGGACGCAGGGGUUAAAGGGGGCCUCUACAUGUAAGCUCCCACCCAUAGACGAGGCCGCGUCCCAUUAGCUUGUUGGUGAGGUAACGGCUCACCAAGGCUGCGAUGGGUAGCUGAUCUGAGAGGAUGAUCAGCCACACUGGAACUGGAACACGGUCCAGACUCCUACGGGAGGCAGCAGUGAGGAAUCUUGCGCAAUGGGGGAAACCCUGACGCAGCCACGCCGCGUGGGUGAAGAAGGUUUUCGGAUCGUAAAGCCCUGUCAGGUGGGAAGAACCGUAGCUGGGUGAAUAAUCUAGCUGCCUGACGGUACCACCAAAGGAAGCACCGGCUAACUCCGUGCCAGCAGCCGCGGUAAUACGGAGGGUGCAAGCGUUGUUCGGAAUUACUGGGCGUAAAGCGCGUGUAGGCGGUCUGAUAAGUCAGAUGUGAAAGCCCUCGGCUUAACCGGGGAAGUGCAUCUGAUACUGUUUGACUUGAGUCCUGGAAAGGGUUGCGGAAUUCCCGGUGUAGAGGUGAAAUUCGUAGAUAUCGGGAGGAACACCAGUGGCGAAGGCGGCUACCUGGACGGACACUGACGCUGAGACGCGAAAGCGUGGGUAGCAAACAGGAUUAGAUACCCUGGUAGUCCACGCUGUAAACGAUGGGAACUAGGUGUGGCGGGUGUUGACCCCUGCUGUGCCGAAGUUAACGCAUUAAGUGCCCCGCCUGGGGAGUACGGCCGCAAGGUUGAAACUCAAAGGAAUUGACGGGGGCCCGCACAAGCGGUGGAGCAUGUGGUUUAAUUCGACGCAACGCGAAGAACCUUACCUGGGCUUGACAUCCCUUGACCGUCUAUGAAAGUAGGCUUUCCUUUCGGGGACAAGGAGACAGGUGCUGCAUGGCUGUCGUCAGCUCGUGUCGUGAGAUGUUGGGUUAAGUCCCGCAACGAGCGCAACCCUCGUCUUUAGUUGCCAGUAUUCAGUUGGGCACUCUAAAGAUACUGCCUCGGUUAACGGGGAGGAAGGUGGGGAUGACGUCAAGUCCUCAUGGCCUUUAUGCCCAGGGCUACACACGUGCUACAAUGGGCGUUACAAAGGGCUGCAAUACCGUAAGGGGGAGCUAAUCCCAAAAAGUCGGCCUCUGUUCGGAUUGGAGUCUGCAACUCGACUCCAUGAAGAUGGAAUCGAUAGUAAUCCCGGAUCAGCAUGCUGGGGUGAAUACGUACCCGGGCGUUGUACACACCGCCCGUCACACCACGAAAGCCUGUUGUACCAGAAGUGGCUUCGCCAGCCCGCAAGGGAGGCAGGUCCCCAAGGUAUGGCCGGUAAUUGGGGUGA